GAUGAACGCUGGCGGCGUGCCUAAUACAUGCAAGUCGAGCGAACAGACGAGGAGCUUGCUCCUCUGACGUUAGCGGCGGACGGGUGAGUAACACGUGGAUAACCUACCUAUAAGACUGGGUUAACUUCGGGAAACCGGAGCUAAUACCGGAUAAUAUAUUGAACCGCAUGGUUCAAUAGUGAAAGACGGUUUUGCUGUCACUUAUAGAUGGAUGCGCGCCGCAUUAGCUAGUUGGUAAGGUAACGGCUUACCAAGGGAACGAUGCAUAGCCGGCCUGAGAGGGGGGGUGGACCACCACGUAGGGAGUGAGCGGCCGCACAGCCUCCGGGGGGAGGCAGUAGGGAGUGUUCCGGAACGGGGGACACAUGGAGGAAGCAACGCCGCGGCGUGGUGGAUGGCGGCCGUCGGGUAAAACACUGUUUUCGGGAGAGAAGAAGUCAGAAAUUUAUUGGGUGUGGUGACGGUACCCUUGUUAAGAAGCCCCGGCUAACUACGUG
rnacentral:rRNA from 1 species